rnacentral:rRNA from 1 species
UAACAAAAGAGUUUGAUCCUGGCUCAGAAUGAAGGCUAGCGAUACGCUUCACACAUGCAAGUCAAACGGAAUGAUAUGGAUGGUUGAAAUACACCAUCUAUUUAUCAUUCAGUGGCGAACGGGUGCGUAAUACAUGAGGACCUACCUAACAAUUCGGAAUAAACAUAUGCUUUAACGCUUUAUUGAAAUAUCAUCCGAUUUUUCAAGCAAUCACAAAAGCAGAACUUAUUUGUCUAUUUGAUUGUUUCGAUAAGCUAAAUAAAAUCUAUGGAUUUUUUGCAGAUAAGUUGUAAAUACCGAAUAAAUUUGAUAGUGAAAAUCUUCAAAUGAAAGAUUUAUCGUUGUUAGAUGGACUCGUGCAGGAAUACGGUAGUUGGCAGGGUAAUAGCCUACCAAGCCUAUGAUCCUUAACCGGUCUGAGAGGACGAUCGGUCACACUGGUACUGAGACACGGGCCAGACUCCUACGGGAGGCAGCAGUGGGGAAUCUUGGACAAUGAGCGAAAGCUUGAUCCAGCGAUAUCGCGUGAGUGAUGAAGGCUCUUUUGGUUGUAAAACUCUUUCGUCGAGGAUGAUUAUGACAGUACUCGAAGAAGAAGCACCGGCUAACUCCGUGCCAGCAGCCGCGGUAAUACGGGGGGUGCUAGUCUUAUUCGUAAUUAUUGGGCGUAAAGGGCAUGUAGGUCGUUGAUUAAGUUGAUUGUUAAAGCCCUAGGCUUAACCUAGGAAGGUCUAUCAAUACUAAUCAACUCGAGUUUGAUAGGGGAUAGUAGUAUUUCUAGUGUAAGGAUAAAAUCUAUAAAUAUUAGAAGGAAUACCUGAAGCGAAGGCGACUAUCUGGGUCAAUACUGACACUGAGAUGCGAAAGCGUGGGGAGCAAACAGGAUUAGAUACCCUGGUAGUCCAUGCUGUAAACGAUGAGUGUUAAAUUCAUGUAUUCAUUUAUAUGAGUUAUAGCUAACGCGUCAAACACUCCGCCUGGGAAGUAUCGUCGCAAGAUUGAAACUCAAAGGAAUUGACGGGGACCCGUACAAGCGGUGGAGCAUGUGGUUUAAUUCGAAACAACGCGCAGAACCUUACCAGCUCUUGACAUUCUUUUGAGGGUUAGGAAACUAACCCCCAAUUCACAGACAAAAAUUACAUUGAAAUUGCCCUUGGCAUCAUCUUCAUUACCUUAGAAACAAAGACUAUUUGUCUCAUCAUAUCAUGAUGACAUAUCUAGAACCAUUCGAAGUCCUAAUGGUUAUUGAAGAAACAAUGUUAGUGUUGGUGUCAAUAGAAAGAUUCUAAAAUUGAGAUCAUUGAUAUUUAUCGAGGUACAAAGAUAAAGAUAAAGAUUAUUCGAUCAUAUUAAUCAUAUAAUCGAAUGAUUACGAGUAACUUUCAAUCUUUUAUUUUAGAAAUUUCGAAUUAAAUUUCAUUCUCUUUUUAUUUUCAUUUUCUACCUAUACAGGUGUUGCAUGGCUGUCGUCAGCUCGUGUCGUGAGAUCUUGGGUUAAGUCCUAUAACGAGCGCAACCCCUAUCGUUUAUUUCGAUUUUACAAAUCGUUUAACGAAACUGCCUGUGAGAAGCAGGAGGAAGGUGGGGAUGACGUCAAGUCCUCAUGACCCUUAUGGGCUGGGCUACACACGUGCUACAAUGGUGAUUCUAAAAUGAAUUUUUUUUGAAAUUCUAUAUACAAUGGGAAGCAAUGACGUGAGUCGGAGCAAAUCCUUUAAAAAUCACCUCAGUUCAGAUUGUUCUCUGCAACUCGAGAACAUGAAGUCGGAAUCGCUAGUAAUCGCGGAUCAGCACGCCGCGGUGAAUACGUUCCCGGGUCUUGUACACACCGCCCGUCACACCCUGGGAGUCGCCUUUCCCCCAAGUUCUAAUUAGUAACCAAGUUUUUAAUAUUCAGAAGAAAUUCUGUGGUUCUCUUUUAUAUUUUUGAACACUCUUUCUUCUGUCUUGGAGCUAAGAGAAUCAAGGUAAAGGUGGCGACUAUGGUGAAGUCGUAACAAGGUAGCCGUAGGGGAACCUGUGGCUGGAUGAACUCCUUU